AGCUCAAUUGGUAGAGCAAAUGACUCUUAAUCAUUAGGUUCUAGGUUCGAGCCCUAGAGGGA
rnacentral:tRNA from 1 species